rnacentral:tRNA from 1 species
GGACUAUAGCUCAGUGGCAAAGCACUUGCCUAGCAUGCGUGAGGCACUGAGUUCAAUCCUCAGCACCA